rnacentral:rRNA from 1 species
CCUACGGGCGGCAGCAGUGGGGAAUAAUGCACAAUGGGGGGAACCCUGAUGCAGCGACGCCGCGUGAGUGAAGAAGUAUUUCGGUAUGUAAAGCUCUAUCAGCAGGGAAGAAAAUGACGGUACCUGACUAAGAAGCCCCGGCGAACGACGUGCCAGCAGCCGCGGUAAUACGGAGGGGGCAAGCGUGAGCCGGAUUUACUGGGUGUAACGGGAGCGCAGCCGGCUGGGCAAGGCUGGCGUGAAAGGCGGGGGCCCAACCCCCGGACUGCUCUGGAAACUGGAAGGCUGGAGUGCAGGAGAGGUAAGCGUAAUUCCUAGUGUAGCGGUGAACUGCGUCGAUAUUAGGAGGAACACCAGUGGCGACGGCGGCUUACUGGACUGCACCUGCCGUCGCGGCUCG